CUCUCAAUAGGGCGUUUGAUGACACGUGGCAUCUAAUACUUAUACGUUGCGUUUCGUCUUAAUGAUUUCGGCUGGACUUUUACAUUCCAGGCCCAUUAAUGAUGUUUGUCCCUUCGUCACUUUGCCUUAGACAUUAGCGUCUCCGACGAAACUUCCUGAAAUUGUGAUCGACGAAUGUCUUUACGUUUCCUUCUCCAUAACGGCGCAUUAAUUCCUAUUUUGCUCUCAGCUUCUGCGUAAUUAACCUACUCUCAUUCAAUCGAUUUCAUAGCAUCCCCAAAGUAACCGACUCAAGCUUUGACUAUAAAUAUCCUCAAUUUGAGCCAUGAACAGCACAACUUCGAUAAGAUUAAUAAGAAUAGUCUAUUCUACUUUCCGAUUACUGCGAUGGCGAAUUCCUUUAUCCUCCUUGCAGAUUUGAAAGAUGGGCGCUGCUCCAACAUUGCAGAGGUUCAUUUGCUGAAGUUUUGGGAGGCGAGAUGGGUCCUGUGCGAAGAGAUAUUGUGAUCCCUAAGCGUUGUACCCGGUAACUAUGAUCCGACAGAUUGCUGCAGGUGGUACUCACUCUAUAGUUUGAUACGCGAAGGUUAUGUGUGGACUUGGGGUCAUCCGUGACCUCCCCAUGACAUGUAUAGAUUAAAAUUAAAACUCACAAAAAGGCAUUUGGUGCAUUAUUUGGCUACUACUUGAAUGUUCGAUUUUGGUUUCCUCUCUACUGAAGAAAACAAAUAUUUCUGUCGGAGCAUUUUGUAAUGGGGCUCUUGAAUAAGAUGGGAGGCUCUUCGCACAACCCCUCAUCAUGUCCAAGUCCAAGGCCUCGAUGAUCUCACUUUGGUUGAUAUUGAUGCGGGUGGCUCGCAUUCAACUUCUUUAACUGCUAGGUGGACGGUUGGGGAAGAGAGAACACGGAGGACUCGGGUUAGGUGACAAUGACAAGAUCAGCAAAAUAGUUCCACAGAAAGUUAAUCUUCUCCCUGACAAAGAUAUCCUGCAUGUUGUAAAGCCUUAAACUUUAAUUAUCUUUAGAUCUCUAAAAGAGGAUCUCAUUCAUGUAAAGAAGCGUUAACCUUUAAUGAUCAAUAACCUUUUUACAGA